UCAAGCGACUAAGCGUACACGGUGGAUGCCUUGGCAACUAGAGGCGAUGAAAGACGUUGUAGCCUGCGAUAAGCUACGGUGAGGUGGCAAACAACCUUUGACCCGUAGAUCUCUGAAUGGGGAAACCCACGACUUCGGUCGUAUCUUGCACUGAAUACAUAGGUGACAAGAGGCAAACGUAGGGAACUGAAACAUCUAAGUACCUAUAGGAAAAGAAAUCAAAUGAGAUUCCCUUAGUAGCGGCGAGCGAACGGGGAGCAGCCCUUAAGCUGUAAUGUAGUUAGGAGAAGGCUCUGGAAAGUGCCGCCAUAGUGGGUGAUAGCCCCGUAUCUAAAAACUUAUUUACAGUGAAAUCGAGUAGGUCGGGACACGUGAUAUCUUGACUGAAUAUGGGGGGACCAUCCUCCAAGGCUAAAUACUCCUAGUUGACCGAUAGUGAACCAGUACCGUGAGGGAAAGGCGAAAAGAACCCCGGAGAGGGGAGUGAAAUAGAUCCUGAAACCGUAUGCAUACAAACAGUGGGAGCGGACUUGUUCUGUGACUGCGUACCUUUUGUAUAAUGGGUCAGCGACUUAAUUUAUGUAGCGAGCUUAACCGAAUAGGGGAGGCGAAGGGAAACCGAGUCUUAAUAGGGCGUUUAGUUGCUGGCAAUAGACCCGAAACCCGGCGAUCUAUCCAUGAGCAGGUUGAAGGUUGAGUAACAUCAACUGGAGGACCGAACCCACUGUCGUUGAAAAGCCAGGGGAUGACUUGUGGAUCGGAGUGAAAGGCUAAUCAAGCCGGGAGAUAGCUGGUUCUCCUCGAAAUCUAUUUAGGUAGAGCGUCGUGUCUUACCCUGGGGGGUAGAGCACUGUUUGGGCUAGGGGGUCAUCCCGACUUACCAAC
rnacentral:rRNA from 1 species